UCUCUAUCGAAAAUACAGCAUCUCUGCUGUAACGUGACAUUUUCUAAGGCUUCCAUUGGCUCUCAGAAGGCGCCAGAAAGUGGAAUGACGUCUCUCCUGUCUCUGGGCGAAAAACAGCAGGAGAUAUUGUCAGUGGUCAGGCUGAGAACAGUGACACUGGAGAUGCACGUUCAUGUAAAGACUCCAUUUUCUAUUUUCAGUGUUUGAACGAAAACAAGGUUUCCCGGUUGGAAUAUUAUCGCUAUUUUACAAGAAAAAUCGCAUAAAAAUUUAUUUUAAACAGCGUUUGACAUGCUUCGAAGUACGGUAAUGGAAUAUUCUGAAUUUUUUUGUCACGAUACGCGCCGGCGGGUCACCCUUCGGAUAGUGUCUUGAACGCAAGAACAAAACUCAGCUAUUUGGAUAUAACUAUGGAUUAUUUGGAACCAAAACAACAUUGGGUGUUGAAGUAGAAGUCCUGGGAGUGCAUUCUGAUGAAGAACAGCAAAGAGUGCGAGCUGAUCAAGGGGUCGAAAAUGUAGAUAUUGCCAGAUGUUCACUAUCCGAGGAACAGGCCGUGGAAGCUUUAUUGCUGGCAAAAGUGUCCAUAACCAGAGGUUAUAUCAGCUGUGUUGGUGAACCCCUCCCGCAUCUGAACAGGCUGACACAGAGGGCACAGCAUGAUCAUAAGUGAGAGGUCACUUGGUUGGGUCAACAGUAUGUUUUGAUGUAAGAGAGGAAGCCAGUCCCGUCAUCGCCACCUCACCCGUUCUUAAGAUAACCUUUGGGCCAACUGUGGGCCCAUGCUGGUUAGGAGACACCGCUAGAGACACUGUAAUUGUGAUGAACUGAGAGAAUAUUAGGGUAGCUCUGUAAUUAAUUAAUGAUAUGCUGUCUGCCUCUGUUCUUACCUCUUUCCCUUUGUCUUCUACACCUCUCUCCCCACCUCAUCUUUCUUCCUUGUUUUAUAAUGCACAGCAUAUGUGCAUUGAAGUACAGAUUAAUAUUAUAUUAUAAAUACAAGUUCACAAUUAUCAUAAUUAUAAUGCAUGUAUUAUGUAUUUAUAACACCUGGAUAAUGAACUUCUUUCAAUAAAGCGUUUCACAUUCUCCACUGGUUGAAAUAUUAUCCUUUGUCCUCAGAUUAAUGCAGAUGAAGGGAGUUAGAUAUGCAUAGUUUUUUAUUCUGUAUAUAUGAAUUAAAAUCAGCCUUUAUUUAAA
rnacentral:lncRNA from 1 species